UGUAUCUCUUGUCUUGCAUGUGAAUGAAAUUUUUUAAAUCGAAAAUGACAUUCCUUACAUUACAGAGAAUAAAAGUUUUACUGUUAUUAUUAUUCUCCAUAAAGAACUUUGAGAAAAGCAUCUCUUAUCCUAAUGAUGAAGAUCUAUAGAGAUAGAUUUAAGAGGCUAAUUGAGUUUUCCUAGUCUAACAUAUAUAAGGUAUUUAUAAAUAGAAUUUACUCUAUCACCACAUCAUGUA
rnacentral:lncRNA from 1 species